rnacentral:rRNA from 1 species
GUGCCAGCCGCCGCGGUAAUACGAAGGGGGCUAGCGUUGUUCGGAAUUACUGGGCGUAAAGCGCACGUAGGCGGACAUUUAAGUCAGGGGUGAAAUCCCAGAGCUCAACUCUGGAACUGCCUUUGAUACUGGGUGUCUUGAGUAUGGAAGAGGUGAGUGGAAUUCCGAGUGUAGAGGUGAAAUUCGUAGAUAUUCGGAGGAACACCAGUGGCGAAGGCGGCUCACUGGUCCAUUACUGACGCUGAGGUGCGAAAGCGUGGGGAGCAAACAGGAUUAGAAACCCUCGUAGUCC